rnacentral:rRNA from 1 species
UACAGAGGGUGCGAGCGUUAAUCGGAAUAACUGGGCGUAAAGGGCGCGUAGGCGGUGAUAUAUGUGUGAUGUGAAAGCCCCGGGCUUAACCUGGGAAGUGCAUCGCAAACUGUAUGACUGGAGUAUAUGAGAGGGUGGCGGAAUUUCCGGUGUAGCGGUGAAAUGCGUAGAGAUCGGGAGGAACACCAAUGGCGAAGGCAGCUCGCUGGGACGUUACUGACGCUGAGACGCGAAAGCGUGGGGAGCAAACAGG